GUUUAAAUGUCAAUACAUAACUCUCAUGAUUACAAAAACAUUGUUUGCUUGCAGCAGCAGCCACACUUUCUCCAUUUGUAGAGCAACGCAAGUCACACACUCACUUUGAAAAUACUGAGCACAACCAAGUCCACAUGAAGGGAAAAAGACACAGGUUUUGUCCGCGGCGCGUAUAAGCAAUAGAAGUUGUUGGGGAUACUACUCAAUGGGACAUCUGGAAAUGACGGGUUUGACUACCAGAGAAGGGGAAUAUCUCAAGAACUCACCCGACAUCAAAACUUCAUCAGGUUUUAAAUUACUGUGACGAGACCCUUGAGCGUUUGACUUUCUAUAGCCAUCAAUUUUCAGACUAAACAAAGACUCAUUUGAUAUUUCGCUCCAAUCCACAUCCCCAUUCUUACUAAACACCGAUGCAGGGAUUCUCCCGGGAUCGUAAUUCGCUAUACCAUUAUUCAUCAAGUGAACUGGUCGUAACCUAGAAGGCGGAGAUGGAGCUGGUUGCAUCCUGAGAUGAGUCAAACCAGAUAUUUCAGAGCCUUGAGAAGAAGAAGAAGGCUGCAUCCUGACAUGAGUCACACCUGAUAUGUCAGAGCCUUUAGAAGAAGAAGCAUUUGAAAGUUCCCAAUUCUGCUGACUCGUAUCCUCAGAAGAUGCUUUGGACUCUUUUGUACUUCUCUCUACGGCAUCAUCCCAUGAAACAGAGGAAGACAUUGAAGAAAAAGACAGAGAUGAUGAUGUUAGGAAGAUUUCCCUCGCAGGUCUUGUAAUCAUUCUGUUACCACUCAUACUCACAUAUAAAGCUCUUAUCAGUUCACUUUUCC